UACGGUAGGGUCCGAGCGUUUGUCCGGAAUUACUGGGCGUAAAGAGCUCGUAGGUGGUUUGUCGCGUUGUUCGUGAAAACUCACAGCUCAACUGUGGGCGUGCGGGCGAUACGGGCAGACUGGAGGUAUGCGAGGGGAGAACGGAAUUCCUGGUGUAGCGGUGAAAUGCGCAGAUAUCAGGAGGAACACCGGUGGCGAAGGCGGGUCUCUGGGCCGAAUACUGACGCUGAGGAGCGAAAGCGUGGGGAGCGAACAGG
rnacentral:rRNA from 1 species